rnacentral:rRNA from 1 species
UACGGAGGGUGCAAGCGUUGCUCGGAAUUAUUGGGCGUAAAGGGUAGGUAGGUGGUCUCAUUUGUCUGGGGUGAAAGCCUUGAGCUUAACUCAAGAAGUGCCCCAGAAACGGUGAGACUAGAGUCCUAGAGAGGGUCGUGGAAUUCCCGGUGUAGCGGUGAAAUGCGUAGAGAUCGGGAGGAACACCAGAGGCGAAGGCGGCGACCUGGAUAGGUACUGACACUCAACUACGAAAGCGUGGGGAGCAAACAGG